CGCUAAACCGCUGAGCCACCCAGGGAUCCCCCUAUAAAAGAAAUUUUUACAUUAGUGUGAAAAUUAAGGAUAUUUGCUAAUUUACCUUAUUAUUGAUUAAUAAACAUUUUUUGACCAUGUCCAAUUUCAUUUUUAGUUAACAGGGCAAGUAUCAUUUUUCUAUGGGACAAGGAGGCCAAAGUAGAUGAUUAUAUCAGCAUCAUAUCAAGAAUAAAUGAUUGAGCCUAGAAGCCAAAUCUUCAGAUUCUUGGUUCAAUACCCUGUGAAGAAUGUUGCCUCUUGCUACUAAAUCCAAUUCCCAAUGUAAUUUGGCAUAGUAGUAGCGACAUUGUUUGGGAGGCAAAGAAGAGUGACAUUAUUAUAGCAAGUUCCAGAAGUGGCAUGUUCAGAUCACAUGAACUAUCAUACAAGGCUGCAAUGUAUUGAUGAUAAAAGCAAAGCGUAUUGGUGAAUGUGGAGAUGAAAAGAAAUCCAGGUUUGUUCUAUUCAACUGCCAUUCCACAAACAUUUUUGGAGGGAUAAUACAUGCCAGAGAGUGUUCCUCUAUAGCCGAAGAUAAAGAAAUUAAGGAUAUUGUAUGCUCUGAUGUUAUUCCUGAUGUUAUUCCUUCAUCUAGAAGAUCCUUGCUAACUUAG
rnacentral:lncRNA from 12 species